GUAAGGAAUAUUGGUCAAUGGGCGCAAGCCUGAACCAGCCAUGCCGCGUGCAGGAAGACGGCCCUAUGGGUUGUAAACUGCUUUUGUACCGGAAUAAACCCCCAGACGUGUCUGGGGCUGAAUGUACGGUAAGAAUAAGGAUCGGCUAACUCCGUGCCAGCAGCCGCGGUAAUACGGAGGAUCCAAGCGUUAUCCGGAUUUAUUGGGUUUAAAGGGUGCGUAGGCGGCCAAUUAAGUCAGGGGUGAAAGACGGUAGCUUAACUAUCGCAGUGCCUUUGAUACUGAUUGGCUUGAAUCCACUUGAGGUAGGCGGAAUGUGACAAGUAGCGGUGAAAUGCAUAGAUAUGUCACAGAACACCAAUUGCGAAGGCAGCUUACUAAAGUGGCAUUGACGCUGAGGCACGAAAGCGUGGGGAUCAAACAGG
rnacentral:rRNA from 1 species